ACGGGUGCGUAACGCGUAGGAAUCUGCCUUGAAGCGGGGGACAACCCGAGGAAACUCGGGCUAAUACCGCAUAAUCUCGAGAGAGCAAAGCUAGGUAGCAAUACCUUGCACUUCAAGAGGAGCCUGCGUCCGAUUAGCUAGUUGGUGGGGUAAAAGCCUACCAAGGCGAUGAUCGGUAGCUGGUCUGAGAGGAUGAUCAGCCACACUGGGACUGAGACACGGCCCAGACUCCUACGGGAGGCAGCAGUGGGGAAUAUUGGACAAUGGGGGCAACCCUGAUCCAGCAAUGCCGCGUGUGUGAAGAAGGCCUUAGGGUUGUAAAGCACUUUAGUUUGGGAGGAAGACGUAUAGUUUAAGAGAUAAUACGUUUGACUGUACCGAAAGAAUAAGCACCGGCUAACUCUGUGCCAGCAGCCGCGGUAAUACAGAGGGUGCGAGCGUUAAUCGGAGUUACUGGGCGUAAAGGGCGCGUAGGCGGUUGUUUAAGUGAGAUGUGAAAUCCCUGGGCUUAACCUAGGAACUGCAUCUCAUACUGGACAGCUAGAGUAUUGUAGAGGGUAGUGGAAUUUCCGGU
rnacentral:rRNA from 1 species